rnacentral:misc_RNA from 1 species
GUUCCUUAGCAAUGUGAGAUCGUAUCAUAUUGGCAUGCAAAAACUCCACAGAAAAUUUAUCUUUCCUACAAUAAUUCUCAAGGGAACUAGGCAGAUUACACGGCUUUAGAUUAUAGAUUACACGCACAAGCCAUAAUAUAUUCACUUGCUUGAAAUAGCUGCAUAAUUAGUUAAUUACUCACAUAGUCAAUGAAUGAUCUUAGUGUUUAAAUGCUAAAGAACAGACAGGAAGAGAAGGCAAGUGGGUCAACUCCAAAUCAGUUGCCAAUUUAGUUAUCUUCUUGAUUCAAAGGCAGUUCAAGUAGUCUCACAGAACGAGGAAGCACAAACUCGGCAAAUAUUGGAUAGUGUGAGGAAG